UACGGAGGGAGCUAGCGUUGCUCGGAAUCACUGGGCGUAAAGGGUGCGUAGGCGGGGUCUUUAAGUCAGGGGUGAAAUCCUGAGCUCAACUCCAGAACUGCCUUUGAUACUGAGGAUCUUGAGUUCGGGAGAGGUGAGUGGAACUGCGAGUGUAGAGGUGAAAUUCGUAGAUAUUCGCAAGAACACCAGUGGCGAAGGCGGCUCACUGGCCCG
rnacentral:rRNA from 1 species